AGGCUUUGAUCCUGGCUCAGGACGAACGCUGGCGGCGUGCCUAACACAUGCAAGUCGAGCGAAGCAUAUUUUAUAGCUUGCUAUUUAAUAUGACUGAGCGGCGAACGGGUGAGUAACACGUGGGUGAUCUACCUGGAAGUCUGGGAUAACAGUUGGAAACGGCUGCUAAUACCGGAUGAAAUUGGUGAUAUAGAGUCAUCAAUCAAAGCGUUACGUAGUGCUUUCAGAUGAGCCCGCGUCCCAUUAGUUAGUUGGCAGGGUAAAGGCCUACCAAGGCGACGAUGGGUAGCCGGUCUGAGAGGAUGGUCGGCCACACUGGAACUGAGACACGGUCCAGACUCCUACGGGAGGCAGCAGUGGGGAAUUUUGCGCAAUGGGGGCAACCCUGACGCAGCGACGCCGCGUGAGCGAAGAAGGCCUUCGGGUUGUAAAGCUCUGUUGAGGGGGAAGAUAGUGACGGUACCCGUAUCAGAAAGCCCCGGCUA
rnacentral:rRNA from 1 species